GUGGGCUAUGGGGACAUGAGGCCUGUGACAGUUGGGGGUAAAAUUGUUGGUUCCUUGUGUGCCAUCGCUGGUGUGCUUACUAUUGCUUUGCCAGUUCCUGUCAUUGUUUCCAAC